GGGGGCGAACAGGUUUCGACGGGGAAGAAGUGAAUUUAGCAUAAAGCGUGUGGCAGUGUGGAUUCUGCCUUAAAAGCCACAAAAAAAUAAACGCAGACAAUAGCGAAAAUUUAGUUGCUGCUUAAAUUAGCACAACACGCCACUCUAAAUAACACGAGUUUAGUUUAAGGCGUUCAAAAUUCGUGAAACUUUAAAGCAGAUUUAGCGUUUUGUUGCUUUAAAAAAUUUAAAACGCUGGCAAGGUUAUGCUUGUUUAUGACCAUAGCUUUGCAAGGAGAAAAGAGCAUAAACUACACAUCGUAGAAAAGUUAAGUUCACCUUUUUCGGACGUGGGUUCAAUUCCCACCGCUUCCACCA
rnacentral:tmRNA from 1 species